AAACGUCUUCAGGGCGGGGUGGAAUUCCCCACCGGCGGUAGGCGCCGUUCCCGGCAACGGGGCAGGCGUGAGCCCGCGAGCGCCUCCGGCCAUCCGGAGGGUCAGCAGAUCCGGUCAGAUGCCGGAGCCGACGGUCGUGGCGCGCUGGUCGCGCCCUAGAGUCCGGAUGAGAGAAGACGCCG
rnacentral:ncRNA from 2 species